ensembl:snRNA U1 U1 spliceosomal RNA
ACAGGAGGAGGGUCACAAUAAUCCAGAAGGAAGUUUUCUGUGGCUGAGGCUCAUCUCUUGCACUCCAGAUUUCUGGACUUCUGAUUUUCACAAAUGGGGGAGACUUUACUGCACAAUUUCUAGUAGCAGGAGACUGUGUUCGUAUUCUGCCA